rnacentral:rRNA from 1 species
GGUCCUACGGGAGGCAGCAGUGGGGAAUAUUGCACAAUGGGGGAAACCCUGAUGCAGCAACGCCGCGUGAGUGAAGAAGGUUUUCGGAUUGUAAAGCUCUGUUAGCAGGGAAGAGGAAGGACGGUACCUGCAGAGGAAGCCACGGCUAACUACGUGCCAGCAGCCGCGGUAAUACGUAGGGGGCGAGCGUUAUCCGGAUUCAUUGGGCGUAAAGCGCGCGUAGGCGGCCGCCUAAGCGGAACCUCUAACCCCGGGGCUCAACCUCGGGCCGGGUUCCGGCCUGGGCGGCUCGAGUGCGGUAGAGG